AAUUUGGGGACCAUAGUUUAUGUUGAGGAGGAAUUUCCAUUCCUAAGCUUUACAGUUUCAAGUCUAGAGACACGCAGAGCAAGACUAGCUGCUUGCUUUUCUCCACCUGCUCACACAUGUUUCCCAAAGGGAACGAGAGUUAGGUAUCCGACUGGUGAUUUGAGAAGAAAGCGUUAAACUUGGCUCUGCUGGGUCUCUCCUUUCUCUUCGGGUCUCUUUGUCUCAGAAGGAAUGACCAUUUGCUCUCCUCCACGAGGUGUCUCAUGUAUUUACCUUCUUCAUUUUUACCAUCCAACUCUCUGGUCUGCUUCUCCUCAACUACAGAACCUGUAACAAAUAUAGAUAUUUUUUCAAUUCCUUGAACUAUACCACAGUAAGUCUACCCGCAGACUCAGUGAGAUCUCUAAACUCACAGCUUUGAUAGAGUCUGCUGGCUCUGCACAUUGUGGGCACUCCAGGCCUGACUCCAUGUGCCUCCAGCAAAGCACAGGGCAGCGUGACUGUCUGAUCCACGGGUGAGUAGCAUUGGCUUUCCCAGGAACAGUACAUCUGAGUCUACACAAACUCACAGCUGAGAGAAGAAGCAAACACGCAGAGCCCAGAAAAGGUUGGGACCAGAGCCAUCACGCUGCCAUGGUUAGCCAACUCCAUAGGCACAUCUGGUAAGCAAUUGUAGUCCAUGAACCCUGUAAAAUUGUAAACGUGGCCUGUUGAGCAUAAGAGUCUUUUCUAUCUGACAUUAUAUUGACUAGGCUCUUGCUAUCCCCUCUAGAGAGACCCUUCACCCUGCUCUGUAAACAGAGAAGGAAGUCAAAGGCCCACUCUCGCAUGCAGGAGGUUGGCAGCUCACCCUGAACUUGCUUUAGCCAGAGCACACUCAGGCGUCAUGGUCAGUGGAUAUCUUGGAGCUUCAAAGGUGAGUCCACUGCUCAAAGAGAGACAUUUCGAUGACCCAAGAUUCCUGGCAGAUUUUAUUUCAGUUGCUGGAAGUUUCUCAAAAAAGCUCAAAAGCCCUCCAGCUGCCUGUAGAGUCUGUGAAAUGCAUGCAGUGGGUCUCCCAAACAAAGCUUUAGAAGGCUGCUAGCACCACAGAUACAACCCAGCCUCUGCAUCUUGAUUUCACUAGAACAGAUGUUAUCUGCAAGCAAUUAACAUACUUGUCAUCACCAGUGAAACAGAUACAGGAUCCUUCAGGUUUUUUUUUUUUAAUGCACCCUAAAGAAAAGUGUUGUGCAUAAAACAAAAUGUUCACAUUGGCAUUAAAAUAAUAUUCAAUAAAGAAAUUUACAUGUGUCAAUUUUUCAGUUUUUUCCAAUUUUGGGGAAAAAGAUACUGUAAUAAUUUUUAGAAAGCUGUUAGGGAAUAAAUGUCACCAGCAAUAUAAAUGUUUGUGAUAACUCUCUAAUUCAAUUAAAGCAGUAUCUAUUUGUAAUUAUUUAUCUUCAUGUCAUGACUGAUAGAAAUUGCCAUUUGGUGUAUUUUCCUCUAUUUAAACACUUUCAAAAUUGCUUGAUUUUAUAGAUUUCUAUGGGAAAUAAUGUGAUUUGAUUUAUAAUCAUAAUCAUAAUCAUAAUACGAAUGUCAAAUUGUAAAAUGAAAUGCUGAGCAAAAUAUGACCCUUAAGACUGGUACAAGUGAAAAGUUUGGUAAGAUUCAAUGUGUAGAUGUCCUAGGUGGUAAAAACAAAACCAAAAAUAAAACAGCAGAAAUUCU